GCUCCCCACCCCUCCCAGCCAUGGGCCUUGCAAGUGAGGUCCCCAGCUGUAUUUCCUCUUCCCAGAUUCCUCCCAGGGCCAUGUUUCCCACAAAGGCCAGACCUGGUGAGUACUAGCAAGGUGGGCAGGAAGAUGAGGCUGCCCAGCCUGUGAGGCAUCACUCCGGUGACAGGGAGAAGCAGCAGAUUCCUUGUUGCCAUGGUAAAAGAUCAGUGUGGGGGUGGAUAUAAUCUACUCUGACUCCUUGGAAGACUGACUGGUGCCUUGGAGAGGAACUGGAGUGAGUUGAGCACCCCCUGAGCUGGGCCUGAGCACCCACCCUCUGCUUUCCCCCUUGGAGAUCCACUGUGCUUGCAUCGGGACCUCCCAGCCACUG